rnacentral:rRNA from 1 species
UUUUUUCUUUUUUUUUUUUUUUCUUCCCCACGGGUUUUUUUUUGGGGGGGGGGGUUACAAGAAAUAACAAUACAGGACUUUAAAUAGUUUUGUAAUUGGAAUGAGUUAAGUAUAAACCCCUUUACAAGUAUCAAUUGGAGGGCAAGUCUGGUGCCAGCAGCCGCGGUAAUUCCAGCUCCAAUAGCGUAUAUUAAAGUUGUUGCAGUUAAAAAGCUCGUAGUUGGAUUUCUGUUAAUAAUUUAUAUAUAAUAUUUUAUUAAUAUUUAUAUAGUAUUAACAUAAUUCAUAUUACUAUAUUUUAUAGUAUAUGAAAUUUUACUUUGAGAAAAUUAGAGUGCUUAAAGCAGGCAUUAGCCUUGAAUACUCCAGCAUGGAAUAAUAUAAAAGAUUUUUAUCUUUUUUAUUGGUUCUAAGAUAAAAAUAAUGAUUAAUAGGGACAGUUGGGGGCAUUUGUAUUUAACAGUCAGAGGUGAAAUUCUUAGAUUUGUUAAAGACAAACUAGUGCGAAAGCAUUUGCCAAGGAUGUUUUCAUUAAUCAAGAACGAAAGUUAGGGGAUCGAAGACGAUCAGAUACCGUCGUAGUCUAACCAUAAACUUGGCAGAUAGU